rnacentral:lncRNA from 1 species
AAUUCACAUAAUGGUGCAUGCACACUAAUCUAUCCCCAUAGGAGAAGAUUAGGAAAGCAACUACUAUAUAGUGCCACUACCUUGAUCUUCCAAAGACUAAUGGCCAUUAAGCUGAUCUCCAAACUAGCAGGAGCAAUCUGGAUGGUCACAAAUUCCCAGAAACUUAUUGAAGUUUUGCCUGAGAAGCUGUAUGAAUGGAUGCCAGUGA